rnacentral:rRNA from 1 species
AAUGGGCGCAAGCCUGAUCCAGCCAUGCCGCGUGAGUGAUGAAGGCCCUAGGGUCGUAAAGCUCUUUCGCCUGUGAAGAUAAUGACGGUAGCAGGUAAAGAAACCCCGGCUAACUCCGUGCCAGCAGCCGCGGUAAUACGGAGGGGGUUAGCGUUGUUCGGAAUUACUGGGCGUAAAGCGCGCGUAGGCGGAUUAGUCAGUCAGAGGUGAAAUCCCAGGGCUCAACCCUGGAACUGCCUUUGAUACUGCUAGUCUUGAGUUCGAGAGAGGUAAGUGGAAUUCCGAGUGUAGAGGUGAAAUUCGUAGAUAUUCGGAGGAACACCAGUGGCGAAGGCGGCUUACUGGCUCGAUACUGACGCUGAGGUGCGAAAGUGUGGGGAGCAAACAGGAUU